UAUAGCUUCUGUUGGCGUUUUAUCGCGUAUUUGGGUUCUUUAACAAUAGAUAUGGUUAAGAGGUGUAGUCACGGACUUUAUAAUAGUGACGACAGGUAUCCUGAAAGGCUAGUUGGUGGAGUUCAAUUCGUACCCUUUCCAAAACGGAAGGGCCAGUACGAAAAAUGUCUUUGAUGGAUCAAACUUUGUGUAAGACCGCAUCAUCAACUGAAUCCAUCUAAAAUCAAACGGAAUAGAAGACAGAGUACGAAAAAUGUCUUUGAUGGAUAAAACUUUGAGGAAGACCGCAUGAUCAACUGAAUCCAUCAACCGGAACAGAUAUGUUUGCACAAAGGUGAAUACAGCCCCUCAGAUGGUCCAGUGGGUACAUGGUGGAAGAUAAACCAGAAUCCUGUUUCCUAAAGCACAGAACAGUACAUAAAAAAGUUACCUUGGUAAUACGCACCUGCAAGCGAUUGCAAUUUGGAGGGUUUAAAGUCCAGCAACAGUGGGAAAUGAAAGUGGUUGCCAGGUUAUUCACCUGACACAAACCAGUACUGUCCGACAGGGUUUUUCUUAUGUUCUAAAUCACGUAACUUAAAUGUUGACGUACUUACUAUAACAGUAAAAUGUCUUUUUUAUGCAGUAUUUCACAUUUAUGUG